rnacentral:rRNA from 1 species
AAAUUGAAGAGUUUGAUCAUGGCUCAGAUUGAACGCUGGCGGCAGGCCUAACACAUGCAAGUCGAACGGUAACAGGGAUCAGCUUGCUGAUUCGCUGACGAGUGGCGGACGGGUGAGUAAUGUCUGGGAAACUGCCUGAUGGAGGGGGAUAACUACUGGAAACGGUAGCUAAUACCGCAUAACGUCGCAAGACCAAAGAGGGGGACCUUCGGGCCUCUUGCCAUCGGAUGUGCCCAGAUGGGAUUAGCUAGUAGGUGGGGUAACGGCUCACCUAGGCGACGAUCCCUAGCUGGUCUGAGAGGAUGACCAGCCACACUGGAACUGAGACACGGUCCAGACUCCUACGGGAGGCAGCAGUGGGGAAU